rnacentral:lncRNA from 1 species
AGAGCACCUGGCCCUUAGAAGUCCACCUCUCCAGCCGGCCUCAGAGGUCUCCCCACAGGCUUCCAGAAGCCUUACUCCCCUUUUCUCUCUCUCAGGGCCCUGCGUGGUGGGCUAUGGGAUAUACUAUUUCAUCUACAGUACAUGGAAGGGACGCACCAUUUAUCUGGAGGAUAUCUAUGUGAUGCCGGAAUAUCGGGGUACUGGGCAGAAGCUGAGGCUGGGGUGGGAGCAAAGCACCCCACAGACCCCACUGUUAUCCCCUGUCCCCAGAGCCCAGCCGGUGUCAUUUUCUGAUCCCCUUCAGCUCAAACAAUAGCUAUUUUUUGCCUCUUUCUCUCCACAACAGGUCAAGGGAUUGGUUCCAAAAUAAUCAAAAAGGUGGCUGAGGUGGCCUUGGAUAAGGGCUGCUCCCAAUUCCGCCUGGCCGUCCUGGACUGGAACCAGAGGGCCAUGGACUUGUACAAGGCCCUAGGAGCCCAAGAUCUGACGGAAGCUGAGGGCUGGCACUUCUUCUGCUUUCAAGGAGAGGCAACGAGAAAGUUGGCAGGAAAGUGACGCCAUCCCUAGGAGGAUCUCUGUCUUGAGUUUCUCCUUCCCCAUCAGCUGAAGCACUCUUCAGAGACUACGUCCACAGACACUGAUGCUGAGGCCUCCCUGGAGGAAGGAGGGUUAGGGGUGCCUAUCCUCAAGUAUUGGAAGAGCAGAAUUGAGGGAGAGACCUUUCUUCCUUGUUGAGGGUGAAAAAUAAAUAAGAAUUACAUGUCC